rnacentral:rRNA from 1 species
AUUGAACGCUGGCGGCAUGCCUUACACAUGCAAGUCGAACGGUAACAGCACUUCGGUGGCUGACGAGUGGCGAACGGGUGAGCAAUGCUUCGGAAUCUGCCCAAUGGUGGGGAAUAACCAGCCGAAAGGUUGGCUAAUACCGCAUACGCCCUACGGGGAAAGCAGGGAUCGCAAGACCUUGCGCCGAUGGAUGAGCCGAAGUCGGAUUAGCUAGUUGGUAGGGUAACGGCCUACCAAGGCGACGAUCCGCAGCUGGUCUGAGAGGACGACCAGCCACACUGGGACUGAGACACGGCCCAGACUCCUACGGGAGGCAGCAGUGGGGAAUAUUGGACAAUGGGCGAAAGCCUGAUCCAGCGACGCCGCGUGUGUGAAGAAGGCCUGCGGGUUGUAAAGCUCUUUCAGCCGGGAAGAAAACGCAUGGGUUAAUACCCUGUGUGGAUGACGGUACCGGAAUAAAAAGACACCGGCUAACUACGUGCCAGCAGCCGCGGU